GGCGAUCAGAUACCGCCCUAGUUCUGACCGUAAACGAUGCCAACUAGCGAUCCGCCGGUGGAUUUAUUCGCCCUGGUGGGGAGCUUCCCGGAAACGAAAGUCUUCCGGUUCCGGGGGAAGUAUGGUUGCAAAGCUGAAACUUAAAGGAAUUGACGGAAGGGCACCACCAGGAGUGGAGCCUGCGGCUUAAUUUGACUCAACACGGGGAAACUCACCCGGCCCGGACACCGUAAGGAUUGACAGAUUGAUAGCUUUUUCAUGAUUCGGUGGAUGGUGGUGCAUGGCCGUUCUUAGUUCGUGGAGCGAUUUGUCUGGUUUAUUCCGAUAACGAGCGAGACUCUAGCCUACUAAAUAGUUGGCUCAUUGCUGCUGUGGGUACAACUUCUUAGAGGGAUUUUCGGUGUUCAGCCGCACGAAAUUGAGCAAUAACAGGUCUGUGAUGCCCUUAGAUGUCCGGGGCUGCACGCGCGCUACACUGGCAAAAUCAGCGUGCUUGUCCUUCCCCGAAAGGGGUUGGUAAACCGGUGAAAAUUUGCCGUGAUUGGGAUCGGACAUUGCAAUUAUUGUCCGUGAACGAGGAAUUCCUUGUAGGGGCGAGUCAUCAACUCGCUCUGAUUACGUCCCUGCCCUUUGUA
rnacentral:rRNA from 1 species